rnacentral:rRNA from 1 species
GUUAAGUCAGGCAACGAGCGAGACCCACGCCAACAGUUGCCAGCUCGUCCUCCGGGAUGGUGGGACACUGUGGGACCGCCUCUGACUAAGAGGAGGAAGGAAUGGGCAACGGUAGGUCAGCAUCGCCCCGAAUUAUCUGGGCUACACGCGGGCUACAAUGGGUGGGACAAUGGGUAUCGACACCGAAAGGUGAAGGCAAUCUCCUAAACCCAUCCGUAGUUCGGAUUGUGGGCUGCAACUCGCCCACAUGAAGCUGGAAUCUGUAGUAAUCGUGUCUCAAAAUGGCACGGUGAAUAUGUCCCUGCUCCUU